CAAUGCUUUUACUAUGCUUAAGUCAUUUCUUUCUCUGGUCAGAACCCAAUUUAAUGCUGUGGUUUAGACUAUUAGAAGUGACAAUGCUUUGGAAUUGGGGUCUAGCAAUUAGGGUAUUUCUUUCUUUAGCAGCCAGGGGAUCAUACAUCAAACCUCCUGUCCUCGCACCCCUCAACAGAAUGGUGUUGUUGAGAGAAAACAUAGAACUCUCCUUGAAACCUGUAGGGCAUUGCUUUUCCAAUCUGGCUUGCCAGUAUCUUUCUGGGGGGAUUGCUUGUUGACUGCUACCUAUCUCCAUAACAGAAUACCCACCAGAUUGCUUCAUAAUAAGUCUCCUCAUGAAAUUUUGUAUGGGAAAAUUCUAACCUAUACUCACUUGAGGACUGCUACCUAUCUCUUUAGCAGAAUACCCACCAGAUUGCUUCAUAAUAAGUUUCCUCAUGAAAUUUUGUAUGGGAAAAUUCCAACCUAUACUGACUUGAGGAUUUUUGGUUGCGUUGCCUAUGCCACUGUUCCCAUCCCUCAAAGGGACAAGUUAAAGCCCAGAGCCAUCCCUUGUGUUUUCCUGGGUUAUCCUUUUGGAGAAAAGGGUUAUCAACUAUAUGAUCUUGCAUCUAAGAAGUAUUUGGUCUCCAGGGAUGUUCUCUUUCAUGAAUCAUGUUUUCCUUUUAAAUCUAUGCCUUCUUCUACUCAUCCUCCUGCUUCUCCUCUGGUCUCCAGGGAUGUUCUCUUUCAUGAAUAAUGUUUUCCUUUUAAAUCUAUGCCUCCUUCUACUCAUCCUCCUCUUCUCCUUAUCCCUUUUUUCCAUCUGGAGAAUAUGAUGAUGCCUCUGAUUCUCCCAUUCCCCCUCUCCUCCCUCUUCUCCCUCAUCUGUGCAGAUUCCUUUUCUUGUCCCUGUCACUGUCCUCAGUGCUUCAGUCUUCCCUUCUCCUUUCAAUCCUGCUGAUUCACCUCCUGUUUUAGCUUCUUCUCUCUAUAUUCCUGCUCCCAGAAAGUCUCAAAGACAUCAUAAUCCUCCUUCCUAUCUUAAGGAUUAUGUCUGUCAACUCCCUGCCUUCUCUGGCUCAUCUUCCUCCUCUUUGGAAUCUGAGCCUCUCUAUUAUUCUCAGGCUGCAUCUGUUCCAGCAUGGCAAACUGCCAUGAGACUGGAGUUUGAAGCUUUGGACACUAACCAUACUUGGGAUGUUAUCCCUCUUCCUCCUAGUAAGAAACCCAUUGGUUGCAAAUGGGUUUACAAUAUAAAAUACAAGGCUGAUGGCAGUGUUAAAAGGUAUAAAGCCAGGUUGGUUAUUAGGGGUGACACACAGGUUGAGGGGAUUGAUUUUACAAAAACUUUCUCUCCAGUGAUUAAAAUGACUUCUGUGAAGUGCCUUAUUGCUGUGGCUGUCAAGA
rnacentral:lncRNA from 1 species